rnacentral:lncRNA from 1 species
AAUAAGUGAGGGAACUGCAGUGUGGAAAUGAGUCUGACUGUUUCAAUCAGUAGUGUGGAUGAUCAGUGUUAUAACAUGAUUUAAAUGUAAAGGCAAUUUCAAUUGUUCUACAAUGCAGAUCUUCGGCGCUACGGAUUGAAUCCAGACGCUAAGGUUGUAUUGAUAGGCAGCCUACCUGGGGAAGCUGUCUUUGAGCCUCUUAGGCUGUGUUUACACAGCCAGCUCAAUUCUGAUAUUUUUUUCUGCACUUUUGCCAAUAAUUGGGCGAAAGAUCAGAAUUGGGCUGCGUAUGUAAACGCAGCCAGAGAGAGACAAAGAGAGAGGAUGUGAUGUGAUUGAACGAGGGUCAGUGGAGGAAAAAGCACCCAAUUUUCCUACUUGAGUGAAAGUGAAGAAUCCUUAAAUACGUCCACCGAGACACACACCACACACACACCUGUCUGUCCGAUCCUAUACUUCUCAGUUCAGCACCAUUAAUUAAAACAGAUAUUAGCUGUCAACAUGUAGGUCUGAAAGGCUCAUCGCUGGGUAAAUCAGACAGGGAGAGAGAGAGAGAGAGAGAUGGAAAGUGAAUGUAAUGAGCCUUACAAGAUGCAGUGCUGUAAAGGCUAUGCAUUAUAGAAGCCUCCAUCACCUCUGUCUGUCUGUAUUUCUGCAGCUUAACCACCCAGCUACAGUACCUCAGAUCUACAAGAUGUAAUUUAGCACCUUGGUCACAUUUUAUUAUGAAGAAAAACUAGCCUGUCAGCCAUGCAUUCAUUGGCAAAAGCAGCGCCUGUUGUUUGCUAUUGUUUUCAAUAAUUUGUACAAAUUGAGCAUGAUGCUAUUUUGAUUGCGGGACAAUGGGGUAUUCUUUGAGCCAACAAUGAAAUACGUUUUCAAAGGCAGUCACACAUCUCUGCCAGUUCUGGCCACCUGGGACAUUUUGUGGAGAGACUUUUUUGAAGCAAAUCAGAAAGAAAUAUAUAAUAGAUAUACACUGAGUGUACGAAACAUUAAGAACACCUGCUCUUUCCAUGUCAUAGACUGACCAGGUGAAUCCAGGUGAAAGCUAUGACCCCUUAUUGAUGUCACUUGUUAAAUCCACUUCAAUCAGUGUAGAUGAAGGGGAGGAGACAAGUUAAACAAUUAUUUUUAAUGCUUGAGACAGUUGAGACAUGGAUCGUGUAUGUGACAAGACAAAAUAAUUAAGUGCCUUUGAAUGGGGUAUGGUAGAAUGUGCCAGGCACACCGUUUUGUGUCAAGAACUGCAACGCUGCUGGGUUUUCCAUGCUCAAUAGUUUCCUGUGUGUAUCAAGAAUGGUCCACUUCCCAAAUGACAUCCAGCCAACUUGACACAACUGUGGGAAGCAUUGGAGUCAACAUGGGCAAGCAUCCCUGUGGAACGCUUUCAAAACCUUGCAGAGUCCAUUCCCCGACAAAUUGAGGCUGUUCUAAGGGUGCAACUCAAUAUUAGGAAAGUGUUCCCUUAUGUUUGGUAUACUCAGUAUACACAACCCAGCUAGCACAUUUGGUUCCUUGGAAGUUGUGGGAACAUACGUUUUUGGUUACAGGGAGGUUCUGAGAUCGUUUUACAAUUGUUCCCUGAACAUUUUUCUGUAAGGUUUUAUUAGCUUUCUGAGAAUGGGAAUUAUAGGUUAUUUAGAUUUGUUUUAAUAACUUCCUUAACUUUCACUGAAUGUUUCAAUAAGACUUUUAAAAACACUACUAGCUUAGUUUGUGUUAACUGUUUUGAACUCCAAGCACAGAUAGGACACAUGGAAAAUGUAUUUGCUUAGGCAUUAAUCAUGAAAACACAUUUCUGUGAUCUUCUGCUUUUUAUCUAUGGAAUUAGUCCACUGCGCCAUCAGGAUGGAGCUAGCGCCACCAGGAUGGAGUUAGAAUGCCAUGUUUUUUUAACAUACAAAGCUGUUAAUUUUAGUCUAUUAAAACAGACCCCAUUUCAAAGGAAAAAAGCACUCAUUAAGAUCAGGUGUGGUCAAUUAGUAGGCACGGCAAACACACCUGAAUACACUUAACAAGAUAAGAGGCUAGAAAGAGGUUUGUUGACGCUGAGAAUGGAAUGUAUGUUUUUCAAUAACAUUCUUAGAACGUUCUUUGAACGUUACACAUUUUUUGUGUGUUUUUUUAUGGAAAGUUUUCUUAAUGUUCUGAGAACAUGACUUUACAGUUUUUCCCAAUUGUUUACACACUAAAAUUGGAACUUGAAACGCAAUCACCGAAACCUGAAACUCAUGUAUCAAAUCCUUAAACCAAGUCUGCAAAAUUGCAAGCACAAUUCUUACUUUACAUUCAGUUUCAAUUCUAUAUCACACUUUUUGCAAAACACUACACAGAGUUCUCUACAUUAGGCACAACAUUCAAACUUAAAAUCUCUUUAGUCCCUUUGGAAAGCAACGCCAAUCACAAUGACACGCGCUGUACACCAAUUGGCAACACCCACUCCUCACAGGUGUAAACAUUAGUUGCUGAGUUGUUCACUUAGAAAUCAGAGCUUUAGCACUAUAAAAGGCCAUGAGCGCCUCCUGUUUUGGAGGAAAAUGGAAGUCAAUGGUGAAGCAAGAGCUAGAGGUGAAGGAGGAUGAGGACGGACAGUUGUCUCAGAUGAGAUUAGGGUCACAUUGGUUGACCAUGUGCUCAACCAUAUAUUGAGUAUGAGGGAGGCAGGGCAGAGAGUUCAGCCCAAACUGAGCCGCUACACGGUUGCAUCUAUCAUCCGUACAUUCAGAAAUGAAAACCUAGUCUUGGAGCUGGAUGCUGCUGCAAUUCAGCACGUUUAUAUUUACAUUGAGGCUGACUUCAACCUAGCCAAAAGAAGGGUAUGGGGACGGAGCAUUAUUGGCCAGCGUGCCUUUGUGAAUGUCCCUGGACAGCGUGGCGGGAAUAUCACCAUGUGCGCAGCAGUUAGCCAGCAAGGCAUCCUCCAUCACCAUGCCAACCUUGGUCCCUACAACACCGCCCUUCUCAUCACGUUCCUGGACACGUUACAUGGCAUCCUCAUUCCAGCCGAGCAGAGGG